rnacentral:rRNA from 1 species
AGAACGAACGCUGGCGGCAUGCCUAACACAUGCAAGUCGAACGAGACCUUUGGGUCUAGUGGCGCAUGGGUGCGUAACGCGUGGGAAUCUGCCCUUAGGUUCGGAAUAACUCGGAGAAAUCCGAGCUAAUACCGGAUGAUGACGUAAGUACCAAAGUAUUUAUCGCCUAAGGAUGAGCCCGCGUAGGAUUAGCUUGUUGGUGAGGUAAAGC